UGUUCAUAAAAUGGAAAAAAAGGCUGAAAUUGCACUCAAUAUUUAUAUUCAAUAUGAAUAUUUACAUGUUGUCUAUCAAGACAUCAAAAAGUUUUACAUGUGCAUCGGAAAAUCAUGUUUAUAUCAUCACUUGCAGUGGUUGUUGAGAAAAUUAUAUUGGACAAACCAGCAACACCAUUAGAAAAAUGAAUUAUAGUACAUACACAG
rnacentral:lncRNA from 1 species